rnacentral:rRNA from 1 species
UAGGGAAUCUUCGGCAAUGGACUAAAGUCUGACCGAGCAACGCCGCGUGAGUGAAGAAGGUUUUCGGAUCGUAAAACUCUGUUGUUAGAGAAGAACAAGGACGUUAGUAACUGAACGUCCCCUGACGGUAUCUAACCAGAAAGCCACGGCUAACUACGUGCCAGCAGCCGCGGUAAUACGUAGGUGGCAAGCGUUGUCCGGAUUUAUUGGGCGUAAAGCGAGCGCAGGCGGUUUCUUAAGUCUGAUGUGAACGCCCCCGGCUCAACCGGGGAGGGGCAUUGGAAACUGGGAGACUUGAGUGCAGAAGAGGAGAGUGGAAUUCCAUGUGUAGCGGUGAAAUGCGUAGAUAUAUGGAGGAACACCAGUGGCGAAGGCGGCUCUCUGGUCUGUAACUGACGCUGAGGCUCGAAAGCGUGGGGAGCAAACAGG